CGCGUAGGUAACCUGCCUUGUAGCGGGGGAUAACUAUUGGAAACGAUAGCUAAUACCGCAUAACAAUGGAUGACACAUGUCAUUUAUUUGAAGGGGGCAAUUGCUCCACUACAAGAUGGACCUGCGUUGUAUUAGCUAGUAGGUGAGGUAAUGGCUCACCUAGGCGACGAUACAUAGCCGACCUGAGAGGGUGAUCGGCCACACUGGGACUGAGACACGGCCCAGACUCCUACGGGAGACAGCAUG
rnacentral:rRNA from 1 species